rnacentral:rRNA from 1 species
GAGCAGUGGGGAAUUUUGGUCAAUGGGCGCGGCCUGCCUGACCAACUGCGCGUGAAGGAAGACGGCCCUACGGGUUGUAAACUGCUUUUGUACGGGAAUAAACCCACGCUCGUGAGCGUGGCUUGAAUGUACCAGUACGAAUAAAGAUCGGCUAACUCCGUG